ACCCGUUGAUCCUGCGGGAGAUCGCUGCUAUUAGGUUUCCACUUAGCCAUGCAAGUCCAGGGGGCUCUUCGGAGUCACCGGCAGAAUGCUCAGUAACACGUCGAUAACCUACCCUUAUGUCUGGAAUAACCUUGGGAAACUGAGGCUAAUACCGGAUAGUGGAUUGAUGCUGGAAUGCACUUUCCAUCAAAGCUUCGGUGCGUAAGGAUGGGUCGGCGGCGGAUUAGGUUGUUGGUGAGGUAAUGGCCCACCAAGCCAGUGAUCCGUAGGGGGGAUGAGAGUCCGAGCCCCGAGAAGGGCACUGAGACAAGGGCCCUAGUCCUAAGGGAUGCAGCAGGCGGGAAACCUUUACAAUGCACGAAAGUGUGAUAAGGGGAACCUAAGUGCUUGCCUACAAGGCAGGCUUUUGUUGAGUGUAAAAACCUCGACGAAUAAGUGGUGGGUAAGACCGGUGCCAGCCGCCGCGGUAACACCGGCGCCACGAGUGGGGAUCAUGUUUAUUGGGCCUAAAGCGUUCGUAGCCGAACUGGUCAAUCUUUUGUGAAAUCGUCUGGCUUAACCAAAUGAAUGGCAAAAGAGACUGCUAGUUUAGAGAUCGGGAGGAGGCAGAAGUAUUCCUUGGGAAACGGUAAAAUGUGAUAAUCCUUGGAAGACUACCUGUGGCGAAGGCGUCUGCCUAGAACGAGUCUGACGGUGAGGAACGAAAGCUGGGGGAGCAAAACGGAUUAGAUACCCGAGUAGUCCCAGCUGUAAACACUGUGAACUAUGUGUUGCAGAUUCUCCGUGAAUCUGCAGUGCCGUAGCGAAGGCGUUAAGUUCACCGCCUGGGAAGUAUAGUCGCAAGACCGAAACUUAAAGGAAUUGGCGGGGGCGCACUACAAGGAGUGCGGCGUGCGGUUUAAUCAGAUUUUACACCGUGAACCUCACCAGGGCCGACGGCAGGAUGAAGGUCAGAUUGAAGGUCUUACCUAACAAGCCGAGAGGAGGUGCAUGGCCGCCGUCAGCUCGUGCCGCAAGGUGUCCAGUUAAGUCUGGCAACGAGCAAGACCUACAUCUGCAGUUGCCACCGAGCUCUCCGGAGCAAUCGAGCACACUGCAGAGACUGCCUGGGAAACCAGGAGGAAGGUGUAGGCUACGGUAGGUGGUAUGCCCCGAAUGCCCUGGGCUACACGCGCGCAACAAUGGUGGAGACAAUGGGAUGCUACUCCGAAAGGAGGAGCUAAGCCUCUAAACUCUAUCUUAGUACGGAUUGAGGAUUGCAACUCAUCCUCAUGACGCUGGAAUUCCUAGUAAUCGCUCGUCAUCAGCGAGCGGUGAAUACGUCCCUGUGCCUUGCACACACCGCCCGUCAAACCAUUCGAGCAGGGUUUGGGUGAGCUCUGGGAUUUAUGCCUAGAUCGAACCUGAGUUCAGUAAGAAGGGUUAAGUCGUCACAAGGUA
rnacentral:rRNA from 1 species